UCUAGGUGCUGUUUGUGCAGCUACCAGUGGACAGGUCAGGUAAAGGCUGAUUCCCAUUGACAGGCUGUUUGUGUCUAGGUGCUGUUUGUGCAGCUACCAGUGGACAGGUCAGGUAAAGGCUGAUUCCCAUUGACAGGGUGUUUGUGUCUAGGUGCUGUUUGUGUCUAGGUGCUGUUUGUGUCUAGGUGCUGUUUGUGUCUAGGUGCUGUUUGUGUCUAGGUGCUGUUUGUGUCUAGGUGCUGUUUGUGCAGCUACCAGUGGACAGGUCAGGUAGAGGCUGAUUCCCAUUGACAGGCUGUUUGUGUCUAGGUGCUGUUUGUGUCUAGGUGCUGUUUGUGCAGCUACCAGUGGACAGGUCAGGUAAAGGCUGAUUCCCAUUGACAGGCUGUUUGUGUCUAGGUGCUGUUUGUGUCUAGGUGCUGUUUGUGUCUAGGUGCUGUUUGUGUCUAGGUGCUGUUUGUGCAGCUACCAGUGGACAGGUCAGGUAGAGGCUGAUUCCCAUUGACAGGCUGUUUGUGUCUAGGUGCUGUUUGUGUCUAGGUGCUGUUUGUGUCUAGGUGCUGUUUGUGUCUAGGUGCUGUUUGUGUCUAGGUGCUGUUUGUGUCUAGGUGCUGUUUGUGUCUAGGUGCUGUUUGUGCAGCUACCAGUGGACAGGUCAGGUAGAGGCUGAUUCCCAUUGACAGGCUGUUUGUGUCUAGGUGCUGUUUGUGUCUAGGUGCUGUUUGUGCAGCUACCAGUGGACAGGUCAGGUAGAGGCUGAUUCCCAUUGACAGGCUGUUUGUGUCUAGGUGCUGUUUGUGUCUAGGUGCUGUUUGUGUCUAGGUGCUGUUUGUGUCUAGGUGCUGUUUGUGCAGCUACCAGUGGACAGGUCAGGUAAAGGCUGAUUCCCAUUGACAGGCUGUUUGUGUCUAGGUGCUGUUUGUGCAGCUACCAGUGGACAGGUCAGGUAAAGGCUGAUUCCCAUUGACAGGGUGUUUGUGUCUAGGUGCUGUUUGUGCAGCUACCAGUGGACAGGUCAGGUAAAGGCUGAUUCCCAUUGACAGGGUGUUUGUGUCUAGGUGCUGUUUGUGUCUAGGUGCUGUUUGUGUCUAGGUGCUGUUUGUGCAGCUACCAGUGGACAGGUCAGGUAGAGGCUGAUUCCCAUUGACAGGGUGUUUGUGUCUAGGUGCUGUUUGUGUCUAGGUGCUGUUUGUGUCUAGGUGCUGUUUGUGCAGCUACCAGUGGACAGGUCAGGUAGAGGCUGAUUCCCAUUGACAGGGUGUUUGUGUCUAGGUGCUGUUUGUGUCUAGGUGCUGUUUGUGUCUAGGUGCUGUUUGUGUCUAGGUGCUGUUUGUGUCUAGGUGCUGUUUGUGUCUAGGUGCUGUUUGUGCAGCUACCAGUGGACAGGUCAGGUAGAGGCUGAUUCCCAUUGACAGGCUGUUUGUGUCUAGGUGCUGUUUGUGUCUAGGUGCUGUUUGUGCAGCUACCAGUGGACAGGUCAGGUAGAGGCUGAUUCCCAUUGACAGGCUGUUUGUGUCUAGGUGCUGUUUGUGUCUAGGUGCUGUUUGUGCAGCUACCAGUGGACAGGUCAGGUAAAGGCUGAUUCCCAUUGACAGGGUGUUUGUGUCUAGGUGCUGUUUGUGCAGCUACCAGUGGACAGGUCAGGUAAAGGCUGAUUCCCAUUGACAGGCUGUUUGUGUCUAGGUGCUGUUUGUGCAGCUACCAGUGGACAGGUCAGGUAGAGGCUGAUUCCCAUUGACAGGCUGUUUGUGUCUAGGUGCUGUUUGUGCAGCUACCAGUGGACAGGUCAGGUAGAGGCUGAUUCCCAUUGACAGGCUGUUUGUGUCUAGGUGCUGUUUG